UACGUAGGGUGCGAGCGUUAAUCGGAAUUACUGGGCGUAAAGCGUGCGCAGGCGGCUUUGCAAGACAGAUGUGAAAUCCCCGGGCUUAACCUGGGAACUGCAUUUGUGACUGCAUGGCUGGAGUGCGGCAGAGGGGGAUGGAAUUCCGCGUGUAGCAGUGAAAUGCGUAGAUAUUCGGAGGAACACCGAUGGCGAAGGCAAUCCCCUGGGCCUGCACUGACGCUCAUGCACGAAAGCGUGGGGAGCAAACAGG
rnacentral:rRNA from 1 species